rnacentral:rRNA from 2 species
CCGAACACGGAAGUUAAGCUCUCUAGCGCCGAUGGUAGUUGGGACCUUGUCCCUGUGAGAGUAGGACGUCGCCAAGC